UUUACCUAUUUCAAGCAAAUAUUACUUGCGCUGCCUUGAUAAGCACAUUUGAACUUAAUUUGAGUUCUUUAACACUAGAUAUGAGCACUUUAUCUUAAAAGAAUCCAUUUCAAGUGUGGUAGUCUUAUUUUAAGCAAUAGUGUCAAGUUGAAAACGUCUCAUUUCAAGCAGAAAUUCACUUGUUAUUUUCUUAUUGCAUUAAAGGUCAUAAUUCAAGUUAUUUUUAACUAGAAAUGAGUUUUAACAACCACUUAAUUGCAUUAAGUAGUAAACGUGACCUAAAUCACUUAAAAAACACAGUCAAAUAUACUUGCGAUACUUGUGGAUUACCACUGAUCACAAGAUGCUCAGUCAGAAAUGUUGUCAUAAACCACAAGUUUUCCUCAAACUCGGUGGCAGGAUCGAAUUCACUCGAACGCACCCAACUCAAAUGUCGCUUGAGCUGCAUGCCAGUGAUGUGAACUGAAGCAAGUACAAGAGCUGUGCCUUUCGACUUCAAAAGCUAAAGAUGGAGCAAUUGGACAAGACAACACAGUCGCUUCUGGAAGCUGCACAGGCCAUUGCCUUGUUGGAGGCGCUCCCAAAAAUGUUCCCUUACCCAACCGCCCCUCCAAGAAAAGUCGGCAAGUGAGGCACUGUACCAUGUUCUUGAGCCAUCUGAGGACGCCAAUGUCUUCUUGCGUAACUGAUGACCUUGCCAAGGGACAUGCUUCUGGAAUCCCUCAUGAUACUGAUGGGAUGCUACUAUGUGUUCCAGUUAACAUAUUCCAAGUGUAUUGCUAGGCUAUUGUCCAUAAUACAAACAGAUUUUAUUCACGAGAGUGACAAGACGACAACAUAUAAAAAGGUGCUUGCUGACUGUCAAGCAUUCAUCCAAACCUAGUCUGUCUCUCCCUCUCUCUUUGUCAACCUCCUACUGUAUGUCACUCUUCUGUAUGUCACUCCCCCCCCCCCCCCCCCCCCCCCCCCCCCCCCAACUCUUUCUCUAUAUGUCUGGAGGUCAGGACAGCACACAGUAACACAACGUCCAAUGUAUUUCCAGCUACAUUUGUCAAUGAUUUGUUGUGUUGUUUGAUGAAUUCUGACUGUUUGAUGUCUUGCUGAAUUGUCAUCGUUUAUGUAGAUGUCAAUGUACCUUAUGUCUGACAGUUUACUUAAAUCAUUAUGUGUAAUAUGUAAUUAAGUACAUUUAAGCAUUCUGAUGCUUAUUAUUGUUCACUACUCUCAAAUGGCUGUUAUUGGUUUUCUUCAUUAACAGGCUAAUAAAACAGUGAUAAAUAA